rnacentral:rRNA from 1 species
UACGUAGGGUGCGAGCGUUAAUCGGAAUUACUGGGCGUAAAGCGUGCGCAGGCGGUUUCGCAAGUCAGAUGUGAAAGCCCCGGGCUCAACCUGGGAAUUGCAUUUGAAACUACGAGGCUAGAGUGUGUCAGAGGGGGGUAGAAUUCCAAGUGUAGCAGUGAAAUGCGUAGAGAUGUGGAGGAAUACCGAUGGCGAAGGCAGCCCCCUGGGAUAACACUGACGCUCAUGCACGAAAGCGUGGGGAGCAAACAGG